rnacentral:rRNA from 1 species
GACGAACGCUGGCGGCGUGCCUAACACAUGCAAGUCGAGCGAUAAACUUCGGUUUCUAGCGGCGGACGGGUGAGUAACACGUGGGUAACCUGCCUCAUAGAGGGGGAUAGCCUUCCGAAAGGAAGAUUAAUACCGCAUAACAUAUUUUAGUCGCAUGACUAGAAUAUCAAAGAUUUAUCGCUAUGAGAUGGACCCGCGGCGCAUUAGCUAGUUGGUGAGGUAACGGCUCAUCAAGGCGACGAUGCGUAGCCGACCUGAGAGGGUGAUCGGCCACAUUGGAACUGAGAUACGGUCCAGACUCCUACGGGAGGCAGCAGUGGGGAAUAUUGCACAAUGGGCGAAAGCCUGAUGCAGCAACGCCGCGUGAGUGAUGAAGGCCUUCGGGUUGUAAAACUCUGUCUUUGGGGACGAUAAUGACGGUACCCAAGGAGGAAGCCACGGCUAACUACGUGCCAGCAGCAGCCGCCGUAA